GACGAACGCUGGCGGCGUGCUUAACACGUGCAAGUCGAGCGGUAAGGCCCUUUCGGGGGUACACGAGCGGCGAACGGGUGAGUAACACGUGGGUGACCUGCCCUCAGCUCUGGGAUAAGCCUGGGAAACCGGGUCUAAUACUGGAUAUGACUCCAUGACGCAUGUUGUGGGGUGGAAAGCCUUGUGCGGCUGAGGAUGGGCCCGCGGCCUAUCAGCUUGUUGGUGGGGUGANGGCCUACCAAGGCGACGACGGGUAGCCGGCCUGAGAGGGCGACCGGCCACACUGGGACUGAGACACGGCCCAGACUCCUACGGGAGGCAGCAGUGGGGAAUCUUGCGCAAUGGGCGAAAGCCUGACGCAGCGACGCCGCGUGAGGGAUGACGGCCUGG
rnacentral:rRNA from 1 species